rnacentral:lncRNA from 1 species
UGGUCUUCAGUAUGAUAGUGGAAAUACUUUUCCUUUGCCUCAGCCAUCUUUGGACCAUCCUUCUUCGGCUUGCUCUUUUUCUUUUACUUCUUCAUGGAUUUAACCUUCUUCUUUCUAGUAGACUUUCUCUUGAAAGAAGAAGUCCGCUCCACAGCAAGAACAGUGCCCCUUGAACUCUUCAAGGUACCCUCCGUAGUGACCA